rnacentral:lncRNA from 1 species
CUUGCUGACCACGUUCUGGACGAGGCCGGCGCGAAUGCCGUAGUCCCAUGCGUGGCAGUCACAGUUGGAGGCGUUGUCCCCCUUGUCCGGAGGGGAUGGCAGGGGUGGUGUGUCGCCUCCGUCCGCGCCGCUGCUGUUGCUCCGGUUGCCCGCAGCCUCCCAGGGGGCAGUGGCGAAGGGGGUGGUGGGGAGGCUGGUCCAGUUGCCCAUGUCCCCGCCCCGGCCUGUGGUGGUGACCCCUGCCAGCUCGGUGCCUUUGCCGGCCCCGCGGCACCAGAAGUUGGGCUGGUCCAGGAGGAACGAGUCCGAGAACUGGCUGAAGCCGAUGAACAGCGCCGGGAUCCAGCAUGGAAACAGCCUCUUCUGUUUGAUGAGAAUCAUCCCAAAGUUGGCAUAUGAAGCUUGAGUUUC